rnacentral:rRNA from 1 species
CUCUACACGACCGUACCGCAAACCGACACUGGUGCGCGAGAUGAGUAUUCUAAGGCGCUUGAGAGAACUCAGGAGAAGGAACUCGGCAAAUUGACACCGUAACUUCGGAAGAAGGUGUGCCUUUAGUAGGUGAACCAUUUACUUGGGGAGCCCGAUGAGGCUGCAAAAAUCGGUGGCUGCAACUGUUUAUUAAAAACACAGCACUCUGCUAAGACGAAAGUCGACGUAUAGGGUGUGACGCCUGCCCGGUGCUGGAAGAUUAAAUGAUGGGGUGCAAGCUCUUGAUUGAAGUCCCAGUAAACGGCGGCCGUAACGAUUACGGUCCUAAGGUAGCGAAAUUCCUUGUCGGGUAAGUUCCGACCUGCACGAAUGGCGUAAAGAUGGCCACACUGUCUCCUCCUGAGACUCAGCGAAGUUGAAAUGUUUGUGAUGAUGCAAUCUCCCCGCGGAAAGACGGAAAGACCCCAUGAACCUUUACUGUAGCUUUGUAUUGGACUUUGAACAGAUCUGUGUAGGGUAGGUGGGAGGCUUUGAAGUGUGGUCGCUAGAUCGCAUGGAGCCAACGUUGAAAUACCACCCUGGUGUGUUUGAGGUUCUAACCUAGGUCCAUUAUCUGGAUCGGGGACAGUGCAUGGUAGGCAGUUUGACUGGGGCGGUCUCCUCCCAAAGUGUAACGGAGGAGUUCGAAGGUACGCUAGGUACGGUCGGACAUCGUGCUAAUAGUGCAAUGGCAUAAGCGUGCUUAACUGCGAGACUGACAAGUCGAGCAGAUGCGAAAGCAGGACAUAGUGAUCCGGUGGUUCUGUAUGGAAGGGCCAUCGCUCAACGGAUAAAAGGUACUCUGGGGAUAACAGGCUGAUACCGCCCAAGAGUUCAUAUCGACGGCGGUGUUUGGCACCUCGAUGUCGGCUCAUCUCAUCCUGGGGCUGUAGCCGGUCCCAAGGGUAUGGCUGUUCGCCAUUUAAAGAGGUACGUGAGCUGGGCUUAAAACGUCGUGAGACAGUUUGGUCCCUAUCUUCCGUGGGCGCUGCAGAUUUGAGGAAGCCUGCUCCUAGUACGAGAGGACCGGAGUGGACGAACCUCUGGUGUAUCGGUUGUCACGCCAGUGGCAUUGCCGAGUAGCUAAGUUCGGAAGAGAUAACCGCUGAAAGCAUCUAAGCGGGAAACUCGUUUCAAGAUUAGAUCUGCCGGGGCCUUGAGCCCCCUAAAGAGUCGUUCAAGACCAGGACGUUGAUAUGUCAGGUGUGGAAGC